rnacentral:rRNA from 1 species
GUAGGUGGCAAGCGUUGUCCGGAAUUAUUGGGCGUAAAGCGCGCGCAGGAGGUUCUUUAAGUCUGAUGUGAAAGCCCCCGGGCUCAACCGGGGAGGGUCAUUGGAAACUGGGGAACUUGAGUGCAGGAGAGGAAAGUGGAAUUCCACGUGUAGCGGUGAAAUGCGUAGAUAUGUGGAGGAACACCAGUGGCGAAGGCGACUUUCUGGCCUGUAACUGACACUGAGGCGCGAAAGCGUGGGGAGCAAACAGGAUUAGAUACCCUGGUAGUCCACGCCGUAAACGAUGAGUGCUAAGUGUUGGGGGGUUUCCGCCCCUCAGUGCUGCAGCUAACGCAUUAAGCACUCCGCCUGGGGAGUACGGUCGCAAAGACUG